UCCCCGGUGGCUCAGACGGUAGAGCAUCUGCCUACAAUGCAGGAGGGCCCAGGUUCGAUCCCUGAGUCAGGAAG